rnacentral:rRNA from 1 species
AAGUCGUAACAAGGUCUCCGUAGGUGAACCUGCGGAGGGAUCAUUACAAGAACGCCCGGGCUUCGGCCUGGUUAUUCAUAACCCUUUGUUGUCCGACUCUGUUGCCUCCGGGGCGACCCUGCCUUCGGGCGGGGGCUCCGGGUGGACACUUCAAACUCUUGCGUAACUUUGCAGUCUGAGUAAACUUAAUUAAUAAAUUAAAACUUUUAACAACGGAUCUCUUGGUUCUGGCAUCGAUGAAGAACGCAGCGAAAUGCGAUAAGUAAUGUGAAUUGCAGAAUUUAGUGAAUCAUCGAAUCUUUGAACGCACAUUGCGCCCCCUGGUAUUCCGGGGGGCAUGCCUGUUCGAGCGUCAUUUCACCACUCAAGCCUCGCUUGGUAUUGGGCAACGCGGUCCGCCGCGUGCCUCAAAUCGUCCGGCUGGGUCUUCUGUCCCCUAAGCGUUGUGGAAACUAUUCGCUAAAGGGUGUUCGGGAGGCUACGCCGUAAAACAACCCCAUUUCUAAGGUUGACCUCGGAUCAGGUAGGGAUACCCGCUGGACUUAA